CGUCCGACCGGGCGAAUGGAUUAAAAGGGAAUCGGGUGAAAGUCCCGAACAGUCCCGCUGCUGUGAAGCUCCAGUUUCAACUUACCGAAAAAACUUAUGCCACUGAUGUAGCAGCUACAUCGGGAAGGUUUCGGCAAGGGAGUCAGUCAGAAGACCUGCCAUCAUUCA
rnacentral:ncRNA from 1 species